UGCAGGAUGAAGGCCUUCGGGUUGUAAACUGCUUUUGUACGGAGCGAAAAGGCUCUCUCUAAUACAGGGGGCUCAUGACGGUACCGUAAGAAUAAGCACCGGCUAACUACGUGCCAGCAGCCGCGGUAAUACGUAGGGUGCGAGCGUUAAUCGGAAUUACUGGGCGUAAAGCGUGCGCAGGCGGUUUUGUAAGACAGAUGUGAAAUCCCCGGGC
rnacentral:rRNA from 1 species